rnacentral:lncRNA from 1 species
ACAAGUAAAAUUUGAAAAGGAUAAAAAUGCCAGGGCAAGACAGGACAAAUCUUAAAUGGGCCGGGGCAUGAAAGAUUUUAAUGGGGCGGAGCGGGGCGGGCACGCAAAGUAUAAAUAAAAUAUUAUUUUUUAAAAAUUUUAAUAGGGCAGGGUAAACCAUGGACUAUCUGGUUGAUUUCAGUUUGAAACUACGGUCUUCUUUCUAGGUAAUGAGAUAUGUUGUCCAAUUCGAUUAUUUACAAAUGUCUGCAUUUUAAAACAAUUGUGCAUUAUUUUCAUUGAAGGAAAAAUAAUCUAACUACUUUUGUAAAAGAUAGACCGUACAAUCCUUUCUUUAUUGUUUAUCCAAGAACAAACCUUAAUUAAUAUGAAUAUUGAGAGUGAAAAAGAAGCACAAAAUGAUCAACCAAAGUUAAGUCUAGCUAAAUUCAACCUUUGCUUGGAUAUCGAUUACCGACUUCUUAUCCAAAUCGAUAGUAUCAUUCUUAAUGCUUGCCGGUUAACAAUCUAUCAAUGAAAAUAAUGAGUACAACACACCGUAUGUUACUGUUCUUGGAGUGGAACAUUAAUAUA